UACAGAGGGGGCAAGCGUUGUCCGGAAUUACUGGGCGUAAAGGGCGCGUAGGCGGCCUUCUAAGUCGAACGUGAAAUCCCCGGGCUCAACCCGGGAACUGCGUCCGAUACUGGAAGGCUUGAAUCCGGGAGAGGGAUGCGGAAUUCCAGGUGUAGCGGUGAAAUGCGUAGAUAUCUGGAGGAACACCGGUGGCGAAGGCGGCAUCCUGGACCGGCAUUGACGCUGAGGCGCGAAAGCCAGGGGAGCAAACGGG
rnacentral:rRNA from 1 species